GCAAGUCGAACGGUAACAGGCCCUCGGGGCGCUGACGAGUGGCGCACGGGUGCGUAACGCGUAUGCAACCUGCCUUAUGCAGGGGGAUAGCCCAUGGAAACGUGGAUUAAUACCCCAUAGAAUCAAUUAUUCGCAUGGAUUAUUGAUUAAAACUUCGGUGGCAUAAGAUGGGCAUGCGUAGGAUUAGCUAGUUGGUGAGGUAACGGCUCACCAAGGCAACGAUCCUUAGGGGUCCUGAGAGGGUUAUC
rnacentral:rRNA from 1 species